AGCAUUAUACCGUGAAACUGCGAAUGGCUCAUUAAAUCAGUUAUCGUUUAUUUGAUAGUACCUUACUACUUGGAUACCUGUGGUAAUUCUAGAGCUAAUACAUGCUAAAAACCCCGACUUCGGAAGGGGUGUAUUUAUUAGAUAAAAAACCAAUGCCCUUCGGGGCUCCUUGGUGAUUCAUAAUAACUUCUCAGAUCGCAUGGCCUUGCGCCGGCGACGGUUCAUUCAAAUUUCUGCCCUAUCAACUUUCGAUGGUAAGGUAUUGGCUUACCAUGGUUUCUACGGGUAACGGGGAAUUAGGGUUCGAUUCCGGAGAGUUAGCCUGAGAAACGGCUAACACAUCCAAGGAAGGCAGCAGGCGCGCAAAUUACCCAAUCCUGAUACAGGGAGGUAGUGACAAUAAAUACUGAUACAGGGCUCUUUUGGGUCUUGUAAUCGGAAUGAGUACAAUUUAAACCUCUUAACGAGGAACAAUUGGAGGGCAAGUCUGGUGCCAGCAGCCGCGGUAAUUCCAGCUCCAAUAGCGUAUAUUAAAGUUGUUGCAGUUAAAAAGCUCGUAGUUGAACCUUUGGCCUGGCUGGUAGGUCCGCCUCACCGCGUGCACUUGUCCGGCCGGGCCUUUUCUUCUGGAGAACCGCAUGCCCUUCACUGGGUGUGUUGGGGACCAGGACUUUUACUUUGAAAAAAUUAGAGUGUUCAAAGCAGGCCUUUGCUCGAAUAUUACAGCAUGGAAUAAUAAAAUAGGACGUGCGGUUCUAUUUUGUUGGUUUCUAGGACCGCCGUAAAGAUUAAUAGGGACAGUCGGGGGCAUCAGUAUUCAAUUGUCAGAGGUGAAAUUCUUGGAUUUAUUGAAGACUAACUACUGCGAAAGCAUUUGCCAAGGAUGUUUUCAUUAAUCAGUGAACGAAAGUUAGGGGAUCGAAGACGAUCAGAUACCGUCGUAGUCUUAACCAUAAACUAUGCCGACUAGGGAUCGGGCGGUGUUAUUAUUUUGACUCGCUCGGCACCUUACGAGAAAUCAAAGU
rnacentral:rRNA from 1 species